rnacentral:tRNA from 2 species
GCCCGAUUAGGUCAGUGGCAGACCAACCGUCUUGUAAGCGGUGAACGUCGGCUCGAUUCCGACAUCGGGCU